CUCAGACAUGGUGGGUACCAGAGACUAUGGGAGUGUCCAUACCCUGAUUACUCACUGAUCAGACACCCAUCCAUUAGAGACGAGAGGGCUGUGGUGAAGAGCAGCUAUGAGCCAUUGGAUUCUUGUUGCAUGUUCUUAGUCCUUUGUUAAAUGUUCAGUGACUCUUUCAAAUGUUUUGUUUCAUCCCAGGAUAGAACUUGAGGGUGCUGGUGAUAGAAUCUGCUCCUGCAACAAACUUCAUCAUUGUCGUUAUCAUCAUCAUCAUUGUCUUCUUGGUGCUGCUCUUGGGAAGUCUCCUUUGACCACUUUAACCCCCCAAACCCUGUUCCUUCCUCCAAACUCUGGCAGUACUUACUGUCUGUAGCACACAUGGAUGUGGAUUAUGAGUUCUUUUACUAUCAGACUCUCCAGAAUGCCAAGAAUCAGUUUCAAGGCAGAAGAGUGACAGUUAGUCAAUGGAGGUUAAGUGACUUGCCCAAGGUCAUCCAGCUAAGAAGUGUCUGAGGUCAGAUUUGAACCCAGGACCUCCUGCUCUCUGGAUCUGGAUCUCAAUCCACUGAGCUACCUAACUGCCUUCUGC
rnacentral:lncRNA from 1 species